AAUCAGUGUCUGAAAAACUGCCUUCCUCUCCCAGGUCUCAGAAAGUGCAAGAGAGCUGGAAUUGGACACACACCAGUAAGAGAGCUUCCUGAAGAAUAAGUUGCUUUCUCAGGAGUCCCUGAUGACCAACAUCCUGAAUGAAAACACACUUGAGAGACAACUUGGGGGACCGCCUUUCAUUAUGUGUGCUAGAGGAGAAACAGCAAUACGUCUGUGCU